AACAUCCCAUCACAUCUUUAUUUAACAAUCCUCAAAAUAGCAUUAACUAAAUGCAAACCCUGUGCUGGAGAGAGACACAAAGAUGAAAGCAUUCUGUAGGGUGUCUGGGUGGCUCGGUUGGUUAAGCAACUGCCUUUGGCUCACAUUGUGAUCCUGGAGUCACAGGAUUGAGUCCUACAUUGGGCUCCCUGCUCAGCAGAGAGUCUCCUUCUCCUUUUACCCUCCCUUUUCUCAUGUUCUCUCUCUCUCUCAAAUAAAUAAAUAAAAUCUUAAAAAAGAAAAGAAGAGGUUCUGUAAAGGGGCACAUGGUUGGCUUAGUAGAGCAUAUAACUCUUGAUCUUAGGGUUGUGAGCUGGAGUCCCAUGUUGGGUGUAGAGUUUACUUAAAAUAAGAUCUUAAAAAAAAAAAAAAAAGUUCUGUAGAGACAUAUGAUCACAGGGAGAGAGAAAGGCACACAAAAUAAUGGAAGAGAACCAAAGGAGUAAGCUGUAAGGACAAGAUGUCCAAACCCUGCAGCUAAGAGUAUAGAAGCCCUCUGAAAUGCUGGGCCCCAGCUGGGGUUGGAGGCUAAUGCAAGCUCACCAAGCCUAGGACAUCAGGUAUGGCUGGAUGGCCGUACCUGUGGUCAGAUACCCUGGGGAGUAUGGGUCUGUGUAGACACAGCAAGAGAGUUCCAGCCAUGGCCAUAUCUGGCUUUUCCUGUUUGCUGCAGGUGAGGUUGCCUGCCCUCUGUAACUGUUUCCUCAUCUCUUUCAAAAGUGAUAGGCUAUCACCACUCACAGUACCUCACACGGUUAUGAUGAUUCUUGAGGUAAUGCAUGUAAUUAAUUGCUUAACCAGAGCCUGGCUUAUGAAAGUGCUAUGUUAAUGCGGCUCAUAGGGAUGGUCUGAGUGACUACCUCAGGUUGAGAGGGUCACAAAGAUAAUGCAAUUCAUUGAAGAUGGUGCCUUAUGCAGAGUGAGCACUCAAGUGUUUGGUUUUUUUUUUUAACUUUUUAUUGAGACAAAAUUCACAUAAUAUAAAAUUCAUCAUUUAAUCAUUUUUUAAAAGAUUUUAUUUAUUUAUUUGACAGACAGAGAUCACAAGUAGGUAGAGAGGCAGGCAGAGAGAGAGGAGGAAGCAGGCUCCCCGCAGAGCAGAGAGCCCGAUGUGGGGCUCGAUUCCAGGACCCUGGGAUCAUGACCUGAGCCGAAGGCAGAGGCUUUAACCCACUGAGCCAUCCAGGCGCCCCUCAUUUAAUCAUUUUUAAAGUAUACAAUUAAAUGAUUUUUAGUACACUCAGCAAUGUUCUGCAACCAUCAUCACUAACUCUAAAACAUUCCCAACACGUUGAAAAGAAACUGCUUGUUAGCAGUCAAACCCAAAGCCACACACCUCACCUCCAGCCUCUGGCAAUUACCAAUCUGCUUUCUGUGUCUGUAAAUUUGCCUGUUCUGUGCAUAUCUUAUAAGUAAAAUAAUAUGUGACCUUUUGUGUCUGGCUUCUUUCGCUUAACAUAAUGUUUUGAAGGUUCAUCUGUAUUGCAGCAUGCAUUAGUACUUAACUUUAUGACAUUCCAUUGUGUGAACAGAGUACAUUUUGUUUAUCCAUUUAUCAGUUGAUGGGCAUUUCAAGUGUAUAUUAUUAAUAUUCCCGUUAUCAGUUCUGUAUUUCCAAGCCAUAUAUACUGCCUCUAUUUGGCCAAGACUCUUGGGGUUUCUACAACACCUAUGCAGGAGGCAGGGUCAGUUCCUUGGAUGAAAAGGAAAGACGUGGAGGCUGGCUCAAGAUCCUACUGCUUUCGGGAAAAACACAGGUUUAUUACUCGAGGUUCAGGGGCCACUGGGCCAUACUAAGAAACCCUGUCUUUCGCCAACCCAGGAAUUCUGCACGGCUGCGAUUGCCUCUUAGGACCCACGAAAGGAGCAGCACUAGGCGUUGGGAGAAGGAGGGCCGGGAGGGCCAGGAGAGCCCGCCCCCACAACCCUCUUGCUCCCGCGGACUUCGCGAGCGUGGCCGCGCUCAGCCAAUCAGUGGAGGGCGUCUGUAGUCCUGGCAACAGUAGCUUCUAAGCUUGCUACUUCAGAGUCUCUUGCAAAAUUUGGCAUUCCUGUUUUUUUGUACUCCGACGCAAGCAAGAAAGCAAGCGCGUGCACACACGCAUGCACACACACUCUUCAGCGCCCGCUUCUGACGCUGCGACCAUGAAUGACGAUUCCUAUGAAACGUAUGAGACUCUGUUCCUGUCGGUGGUCGGCUGGGGACCAGGGAUACAUGGGCUCUAGGACACAGCCCUUAACAUUGCAAAACUCACAGGCCAUUGGGAGAGAAAGACUCAGAAAGCAGCUUCAUCCAGAAAAAUAUGGGCUCUGCCAGUCUAAGACCUCAGAUGAUGAUGAAACCUCCAGCAAGGACCCCAUCUUCAAUCCUGAACCAGUCAUUGCCCACUGCUUCAAGCAGUUCAAGCAGAAGGCUUUCCACCAGCCUCAGAGCCGCCGGCGGAUCAUCACCUUGCCUCAAAACGAGGAUCCAAUACCCAUCAAUCUCACGGCCCAAGCCCAGACUCCCCCACAGCCAAUAUCCAGCUUCAAAGUCCUGGGAGCCGGGGAUAUCCUGGGGCAGCCAGACGAUGCAAAGACCUGGCUCAGCCAGAGACUGAAGCUUCGGCAGAACCUGGAGUCAUUCGGCGACACAGAGAAGUGGCUGCAGAACAAGCCUUGCCUCACCCCUUCAGAGGCCAAGGUCUUAAACAUGAUCCGAAAGGAGCAUGAAGCCCAUUUGCUGGCCUGUCUGACUCCUACCAGAGCCACCAAGAAGAGCCCCCGGCCUUCCCGCCGACCUGUGCCCCAGCUCCGACUGCCCAAGCCUUCUGCCUUGACCACCUUGUACUCGUACCUGCGCAGCCGCAAGAUGAAGAUCCUGGAGAUAUUCGGCAAGGUGGACUGGGGUGAGAACCAGAGGAUCUCUAGGGAGGAGUUCAUGGCAGCUCUGAAGGCGAUUGGAGUCCCUCUGAAAAACCAGGAGAUGGAGGAUGUUGUGAUCUAUCUCAGCUCUCUGGGAAAGUGCAACAACAUUACCACGGAUAUCCUAGCCAACACCUACAAGCAGUGGUCUUUGGGUGAGCAGAGAAGCACCCUGUCGACUGAGAGGGAGUAUUAUAGAUCCACCAAGCACAGAGGUUCCCUCCAGAGUGCAUCCAAGAACCAGGUGGAUUUGGCCCCACAGCCUUGCAAGAUGGACCUGCUGACUGUGCCCCUGGUUGACACCCACAUGGAGGCACGGCCCAUGACUCUGGAGGAGAUGGAGGACGUUGGCAAGCGGUACCGUGAGAGGAAGCGGCAGCACAAGCUCAAGAUCCCCUCCAUCCAGUACCUGGAGCGGUGCCGCCUGGUGCGCAGUGGGAAUAAGCACUUUGAUGAGCACUGUCUCCCGUCCACCCUGCACGGGGAGAUGAGGGAGCUCGUCGACAUGUCCCGCAGGGACAACUUUCUGGUCUACCUGCAGUGCCACAAGCUCUGUGAGUACUACGGCCUCCCGCUGACGGAGGACAUCCUCAUGAAAGCCCUGCUGUACCCAGGAGACAAGAUCAUUUUCCAGAAGGACCAGGUGCGCCCGAUCCGGCAGCCAGGAGGCUACUACUCAGACUUGAAGAUCUUCAGUCCAAAUCUGGCCCUGCUCAAGCUCCAGGGCUUCAGCGAGGCUCUGGCUAAGAAGGCUGACAAGCUGAGUGUCAGACCCCCUGUGUUCCCUGCCAUUUGCCUUCUGUCCUACUGCUGCUCCUUCAGUGCUGGGGAUAGGAUGGUGGCCUACCUAAGGUGUCAUGGUGCACCAGUGCCUGUGUCCAAGCAUGCCCAGCAUGUCCAACCCCACUGGUCACCAGGUGUCAUCCCUGGCACAUGUCUGAGGGCCGCAGCCUCCCUGCCUCACCCCCAUACAGCUACUCUCCCAACCACAUCCUACAUGAUCUCAAGCUUUCUGGGAAAGAUUAAAAAGAGGGACUUCUUCAAGAAAUGGGGAGGCUCCUUCACAAAUCAUGGGCGGGCCAUCAGGGGCCCUACAGAGGACAGGUGUGGCAGUCCCUUCUUUGUCCUGCCUUCUCUGGCAAGAGGUAGGCUUGCAGCCCUUAGGAGGAGGAAAGAAUUCUGCACUGGGGCCUGUCUCUGAGCCUCAGACCAACCUGAGUCCUCUCUAAGGAAAUGUCCUUCUUUGGAAGGAGGGGACCCGGGGGCAGGUGAUAAACCAGCAUGUGUUGAAGACUGCAGACUGGAGAACGAGCAGCAUCCCCGAGGCGGGAUGGGGCUAAUGUGGGAUGGAGAAGGGCCUGCUCCCCACCAGGAACGGCCUACAUUCUGGAUCCCUGCCAGCGGCCCACUGGAUGGUAUGGCCAGAACGGAUAGGAUGCAAGAGGAAAUUAGACACCCUACAUGUUAAGUGGGCAAGAUGCUUCACUGUCUGAGCCACAGCUUUUCAUCUGUUACAUAAGCAUUCCAGCUCCUGGGUGGCUGACUUCCAUUUCUGCACCAUGAACCUAAGGAGUGGGUGGGAACAUGAGAAACAGACUCUUAUCCAUGCUUAAGUAGGCCAUAGCCAUAAAGGAUAAAGAGAGGGCACCAAGGGCAGGGACGGAUAUGUGUUUUAUCUUGCUACCUGAAAUGUGUUGUCAAGGUUUUGGAGGCCAGAUGCAGGCCUGCUGGGAGAGAGUGCUGUCUGCGGUCGAUUAGUGAUGUCUGCCAAGUCUAUCCUUGGGGAGUUAGUUUUCACCACACUUGUUCCAAAAGCUGGAUUCAGCCUCAGCAGCAUCUCUCAGCUACCUCGGGAGGUCUCUGUUCUGGGUAAUAAGAAACAUAAGGCUUUGCAAAGGGAAGUGGCCUGCCCAGAGUCACCCAUCCAGCCAGGAUGUGAGCCCAGGCCUGGCUGACCAAGCCCAUUGUGGGUCCCACUGGAGCAUGGAGGGAGAGAGGCUGGGUCCCACCUCAGGAAGAAGAAACUCUGCUUUUGGAGCUCUGGUUUGGACUUACUGACAGGCCCACCUCCGUGUACUGAGGCCCCAUUAACUUGGAUUUCCCCUCUCCUGACAAGAGACCUUUCUCUCUUAUCCACUAGGAAAACACUGAAGAAAGUCAAGAAGAUACACUUUAAGGAGUUUGAGGAGUUCACCAGGAAGCUGCAAGUGAAGAGCCCCAGAGGUCGAAAGCGAACUCACCCCAAUUUCUUCUGGCCGGGGCACCUCCUGGACAAGCUGCAGCUCUACCU